CGGGACGGGUGAGUAACGCGUGGGUAACCUGCCUUGUACAGGGGGAUAACAGUUGGAAACGGCUGCUAAUACCGCAUAAGCGCACAGCAUCGCAUGAUGCAGUGUGAAAAACUCCGGUGGUAUAAGAUGGACCCGCGUUGGAUUAGCUUGUUGGUGAGGUAACGGCCCACCAAGGCGACGAUCCAUAGCCGACCUGAGAGGGUGACCGGCCACAUUGGGACUGAGACACGGCCCAA
rnacentral:rRNA from 1 species